CAUCUCCUCCUAAUGUUGAACUGUCAUCUCCUCCUAAUGUUGAACUGUCAUCUCCUCCUAAUGUUGAACUGUCAUCUCCUAAUGUUGUACUGUCAUCUCCUAAUGUUGUACUGUCAUCUCCUCCUAAUGUUGAACUGUCAUCUCCUCCUAAUGUUGAACUGUCAUCUCCUUCUAAUGUUGAACUGUCAUCUCCUCCUAAUGUUGUACUGUCAUCUCCUCCUAAUGUUGAACUGUCAUCUCCUCCUAAUGUUGAACUGUCAUCUCCUCCUAAUAUUUAACUGUCAUCUCCUCUCCUACUGUUGUAGUGUAACAUGUUGUUGUCGUAGUUACCUCCUAAAGUUGUAGUGUAACUUGUUGUUGUCAUAGUUACCUUCUAAUGUUGUGGUGUAACAUGUUGUUGUCAUAGUUACCUCCUAAAGUUGUAGUGUAACUUGUUGUUGUCAUAGUUACCUUCUAAUGUUGUAGUGUAGCAUGUUGUUGUCAUAGUUACCUCCUAAAGUUGUAGUGUAGCAUGUUGUUGUCGUGGUUACCUCCUAAUGUUGUCGUGUAGCGUGUUGUUGUCGUGGUUACCUCCUAAUGUUGUAGUGUAACAUAAUGCUGACUUGCCUAGUUUAAAAUAAAUAAUGAUGUCAUCAUGUCACACAAGAAGCAGAGGGUACCCCCUGAUGGACCAGACAUCAAAUAGCACCUACAGCAAUCUGAGCUGGUCUGAGUUGAUCUAAUAUUUGCCCUGACAGAGUGACUGACAUACGUGUUGUAGAGGACAGGACAGGUUAGUGAUGUGUUGUAGAGGACAGGUUAGUGAUGUGUUGUAGAGGACAGGACAGGUUAGUGAUGUGUUGUAGAGGACAGGUUAGUGACGUGUUGUAGAGGACAGGUUAGUGACGUGUUGUAGAGGACAGGUUAGUGACGUGUUGUAGAGGACAGGUUAGUGAUGUGUUGUAGAGGACAGGUUAGUGAUGUGUUGUAGAGGACAGGUUAGUGAUGUGUUGUAGAGGACAGGUUAGUGAUGUGUUGUAGAGGACAGGUUAGUGAUGUGUUGUAGAGGACAGGUUAGUGAUGUGUUGUAGAGGACAGGUUAGUGAUGUGUUGUAGAGGACAGGUUAGUGAUGUGUUGUAGAGGACAGGUUAGUGACGUGUUGUAGAGGACAGGACAGGUUAGUGAUGUGUUGUAGAGGACAGGUUAGUGAUGUGUUGUAGAGGACAGGUUAGUGAUGUGUUGUAGAGGACAGGUUAGUGAUGUGUUGUAGAGGACAGGUUAGUGAUGUGUUGUAGAGGACAGGUUAGUGAUGUGUUGUAGAGGACAGGUUAGUGAUGUGUUGUAGAGGACAGGUUAGUGACGUGUUGUAGAGGACAGGUUAGUGAUGUGUUGUAGAGGACAGGUUAGUGACGUGUUGUAGAGGACAGGACAGGUUAGUGAUGUGUUGUAGAGGACAGGACAGGUUAGUGAUGUGUUGUAGAGGACAGGACAGGUUAGUGAUGUGUUGUAGAGGUACAGAGGACAGGACAGAUAAUACAGGACUUUAUGGACAUACCAUCUGUAUGUAUUAACACAAAAAAACGUAGCAUUUCACCUGAAGUGUAGGUCAUCAGAUCUCUGGCUAGGAGUCAGAGCUGAUGGUAGACUUAAAGACAUUACAUGCAUUGAGCACACACACACACACACACGCACGUACGCACGCACGCACGCACACGCACACACACACACAGAGAGAGAGAGUCACACUGGGGGCCUUGAAAUAUGACUCAGCAGAAACCUCUCUCUCUCUCUC